rnacentral:rRNA from 1 species
AUUGAACGCUGGCGGCAGGCCUAACACAUGCAAGUCGAGCGGAUGAAGGGUGCUUGCUCCUGGUUUCAGCGUCGGACGGGUGAGUAAUGCCUAGGAAUCUGCCUGGUAGUGGUGUAUAACGUCCGCAAACGGGCGCUACUACCGCAUACUUCCUGAUGGAGAAGGUGGGGGGGCUUCGGACCUCUCGCUAUCAGGUGAGCCUAGGUCGGGUUAGAUAGUUGGUGGGGUAAAGGCCUACCAAGGGGGCGAUCCGUAACUGGUCUGAGUGAAUGAUUGGUCACCUUGGAAGUGGGCCACCGACAAGACUCCUACGGGAGGCAGCAGUGGCGAAUAGUGGACAAUGGGGGAAAGCAUGAUCCAGCCAUGCCGCGUCUGUGAAGGAGGUCUUCGGAGCGUAAAGAACUCUAUGUUGGGAGGAAGGGCAGUAAGCUAAGACCUUGCUGUUGUGACGGUAACAAGAGAAUAAGCACCGGCUAACUUCGUG